rnacentral:lncRNA from 1 species
GUUAUUAAAAAGGAAAACAAGUGGCUUUUGGUUCAGAGUCGAUGUUACAUCCUGUGUUUUCUUCUUUUAUUUCCUUGGUUUUCUUUUCUUAUUAUUUUUUCUUCACCGAAUGCCCUUUUCCGUGCUUCUUUUUGAAUCUUCGAGUUAUCAUUUUUCUCAUUUUUUUCUUUCUCUCGAUUCAUCAAAUUUUUUCUUUUUCUUUUGUUCUUGCACUUUCGUGGGCUUUUGGAGCUUUUUGGGGUUUUU